ensembl:ncRNA H08J11.10 ncRNA
AUGAAAUGGUCAAAAGUAUCAUCUAAAAAGCGGGAAGUGGAAUGAAAGAGAAGAUAAUACUGGAAAAAAAACAUUGUGCAAACAAUCAAAUAGAUGUCGAGACCGAGAUUUGCACAAACGGGGGAAAAGAGCUCACCGCUCUACCUAU